GAGGGAAAGGCGAAAAGAACCCCGGCGAGGGGAGUGAAAAAGAACCUGAAACCGUGUACGUACAAGCAGUAGGAGCCUCUUUAUGGGGUGACUGCGUACCUUUUGUAUAAUGGGUCAGCGACUUAUAUUCUGUAGCAAGGUUAACCGUAUAGGGGAGCCGUAGGGAAACCGAGUCUUAACUGGGCGAAUGAGUUGCAGGGUAUAGACCCGAAACCCGGUGAUCUAUCCAUGGGCAGGUUGAAGGUUGGGUAACACUAACUGGAGGACCGAACCGACUAAUGUUGAAAAAUUAGCGGAUGACUUGUGGAUGGGGGUGAAAGGCCAAUCAAACCGGGAGAUAGCUGGUUCUCCCCGAAAGCUAUUUAGGUAGCGCCUCGUGAAUUCAUCUUCGGGGGUAGAGCACUGUUUCGACUAGGGGGUCAUCCCGACUUACCAACUCGAUGCAAACUGCGAAUACCGAAGAAUGUUAUCACGGGAGACACACGGCGGGUGCUAACGUCCGUCGUGAAGAGGGAAACAACCCAGACCGCCAGCUAAGGUCCCAAAGUCAUGGUUAAGUGGGAAACGAAGUGGGAAGGCUCAGACAGCCAGGAUGUUGGCUUAGAAGCAGCCAUCAUUUAAAGAAAGCGUAAUAGCUCACUGGUCGAGUCGGCCCGCGCGGAAGAUGUAACGGGGCUAAACCAUGCACCGAAGCUGCGGCAGCGACACA
rnacentral:rRNA from 1 species